rnacentral:ncRNA from 1 species
UGAUUAACCGUUAAUGUUAGCGGCUAUUGUCAGUAAUGAUAAUAGAAAACCCCUUGAAUUCAGGGGAAGUCUCAUUGAGAUAAUCCUGAGCGAAACCUAUGCUAAUUAGCAGAAUGUUCAAACUAUGUCAGAGUUAAAAUCUGGCAACUGUAUGAACAAGGGACGUGCAAAGACCAUCCAGAAAUGGAGUAGAGUCAAGCGACUCGAAGCGGGGGGAAUCCUUCUUAAAUAAAUAAGUUAAGGAUUGUGAUAUGGUCUGUUCUAUUCGGCGACGGGUAG